rnacentral:rRNA from 1 species
UUAAGUGACUAAGCGUACACGGUGGAUGCCUAGGCAGUCAGAGGCGAUGAAGGGCGUGCUAAUCUGCGAAAAGCGUCGGUAAGGUGAUAUGAACCGUUAUAACCGGCGAUACCCGAAUGGGGAAACCCAGUGUGUUUCGACACACUAUCAUGUCAUGAAUACAUAGUGGCAUGAGGCGAACCGGGGGAACUGAAACAUCUAAGUACCCCGAGGAAAAGAAAUCAACCGAGAUUCCCCCAGUAGCGGCGAGCGAACGGGGAGGAGCCCAGAACCUGAAUCGGCUUGUGUGUUAGUGGAAGCGUCUGGAAAGUCGCGCAGCAAAGGGUGAUAGCCCCGUACACUAAAAUGCACAGGUCGUGAGUUCGAUGAGUAGGGCGGGACACGUGACAUCCUGUCUGAAUAUGGGGGGACCAUCCUCCAAGGCUAAAUACUCCUGACUGACCGAUAGUGAACCAGUACCGUGAGGGAAAGGCGAAAAGAACCCCGGCGAGGGGAGUGAAAUAGAACCUGAAACCGUGUACGUACAAGCAGUGGGAGCACCUUCGUGGUGUGACUGCGUACCUUUUGUAUAAUGGGUCAGCGACUUAUAUUUUGUAGCAAGGUUAACCGUAUAGGGGAGCCGUAGGGAAACCGAGUCUUAACUGGGCGAAUAGUUGCAAGGUAUAGACCCGAAACCCGGUGAUCUAGCCAUGGGCAGGUUGAAGGUUGGGUAACACUAACUGGAGGACCGAACCGACUAAUGUUGAAAAAUUAGCGGAUGACUUGUGGCUGGGGGUGAAAGGCCAAUCAAACCGGGAGAUAGCUGGUUCUCCCCGAAAGCUAUUUAGGUAGCGCCUCGUGAACUCAUCUUCGGGGGUAGAGCACUGUUUCGGCUAGGGGGCCAUCCCGGCUUACCAAACCGAUGCAAACUCCGAAUACCGAAGAAUGUUAUCACGGGAGACACACGGCGGGUGCUAACGUCCGUCGUGAAGAGGGAAACAACCCAGACCGCCAGCUAAGGUCCCAAAGUCAUGGUUAAGUGGGAAACGAUGUGGGAAGGCACAGACAGCCAGGAUGUUGGCUUAGAAGCAGCCAUCAUUUAAAGAAAGCGUAAUAGCUCACUGGUCGAGUCGGCCUGCGCGGAAGAUGUAACGGGGCUAAACCAUGCACCGAAGCUGCGGCAGCGACGCUUAGGCGUUGUUGGGUAGGGGAGCGUUCUGUAAGCCGUUGAAGGUGGCCUGUGAGGGUUGCUGGAGGUAUCAGAAGUGCGAAUGCUGACAUAAGUAACGAUAAAGCGGGUGAAAAGCCCGCUCGCCGGAAGACCAAGGGUUCCUGUCCAACGUUAAUCGGGGCAGGGUGAGUCGACCCCUAAGGCGAGGCUGAAAAGCGUAGUCGAUGGGAAACAGGUUAAUAUUCCUGUACUUGGUGUUACUGCGAAGGGGGGACGGAGAAGGCUAGGCUGGCCGGGCGACGGUUGUCCCGGUUUAAGCGUGUAGGGGGUGUGACCUGGUAAAUCCGGUUACAUACUAACCCUGAGGCGUGAUGACGAUGCACUACGGUGCAGAAGUAGUUGAUGCCCUGCUUCCAGGAAAAUCCUCUAAGCUCCAGGUAACAUUAAAUCGUACCCCAAACCGACACAGGUGGUCAGGUAGAGAAUACCAAGGCGCUUGAGAGAACUCGGGUGAAGGAACUAGGCAAAAUGGUGCCGUAACUUCGGGAGAAGGCACGCUGGCAUGUAGGUGAAGUCCCUCGCGGAUGGAGCUGAAGCCAGUCGAAGAUACCAGCUGGCUGCAACUGUUUAAUAAAAACACAGCACUGUGCAAACACGAAAGUGGACGUAUACGGUGUGACGCCUGCCCGGUGCUGGAAGGUUAAUUGAUGGGGUCAGCCGCAAGGCGAAGCUCUUGAUCGAAGCCCCAGUAAACGGCGGCCGUAACUAUAACGGUCCUAAGGUAGCGAAAUUCCUUGUCGGGUAAGUUCCGACCUGCACGAAUGGCGUAAUGAUGGCCAGGCUGUCUCCACCCGAGACUCAGUGAAAUUGAACUCGCUGUGAAGAUGCAGUGUACCCGCGGCAAGACGGAAAGACCCCGUGAACCUUUACUAUAGCUUGACACUGAACAUUGAGCCUUGAUGUGUAGGAUAGGUGGGAGGCUUUGAAGCGUGGACGCCAGUCUGCGUGGAGCCAUCCUUGAAAUACCACCCUUUAAUGUUUGAUGUUCUAACUCGGCCCCAUAAUCUGGGGUGAGGACAGUGUCUGGUGGGUAGUUUGACUGGGGCGGUCUCCUCCCAAAGAGUAACGGAGGAGCACGAAGGUUAGCUAAUCACGGUCGGACAUCGUGAGGUUAGUGCAAAGGCAUAAGCUAGCUUGACUGCGAGAGUGACGGCUCGAGCAGGUACGAAAGUAGGUCUUAGUGAUCCGGUGGUUCUGAAUGGAAGGGCCAUCGCUCAACGGAUAAAAGGUACUCCGGGGAUAACAGGCUGAUACCGCCCAAGAGUUCAUAUCGACGGCGGUGUUUGGCACCUCGAUGUCGGCUCAUCACAUCCUGGGGCUGAAGUAGGUCCCAAGGGUAUGGCUGUUCGCCAUUUAAAGUGGUACGCGAGCUGGGUUUAGAACGUCGUGAGACAGUUCGGUCCCUAUCUGCCGUGGGCGUUGGAAGAUUGAGAGGGGUUGCUCCUAGUACGAGAGGACCGGAGUGAACGCACCACUGGUGUUCGGGUUGUCAUGCCAAUGGCAUUGCCCGGUAGCUAAGUGCGGAAAAGAUAAGCGCUGAAAGCAUCUAAGCGCGAAACUUGCCUCAAGAUGAGUCUUCCCUGGGCCUUUAAGGCCCCUGAAGGAACGUUUAAGACUAAGACGUUGAUAGGCUGGGUGUGUAAGUGCAGCGAUGCAUUGAGCUAACCAGUACUAAUGAUCCGUGAGGCUUAACCUU